rnacentral:rRNA from 1 species
GAUGAACGCUAGCGGAGGCUUAACACAUGCAAGUCGAGGGGCAGCAUAGGGUAGCAAUACUCUGAUGGCGACCGGCAAACGGGUGAGUAACGCGUAUGCAACCUACCCUGUACAGGGGGAUAACCCGGAGAAAUUCGGACUAAUAUCCCGUAAUAAUAUCCGGAGGCAUCUUUGGAUAUUUAAAGUUCCGACGGUACGGGAUGGGCAUGCGUAACAUUAGCUGGUUGGUAAGGUAACGGCUUACCAAGGCUAUGAUGUUUAGGGGUCCUGAGAGGGUGGUCCCCCACACUGGUACUGAGACACGGACCAGACUCCUACGGGAGGCAGCAGUGAGGAAUAUUGGUCAAUGGGCGCAAGCCUGAACCAGCCAUCCCGCGUGCAGGAAGACGGCCCUAUGGGUUGUAAACUGCUUUUCCAGGGAGAGAAACUUACGCACGUGUUGCGUGACUGACGGUACCCUGGGAAUAAGCAUCGGCUAACUCCGUGCCAGAGCCGCGGUAAACUGUAGUCGU